rnacentral:lncRNA from 1 species
UCGAAUUCACGCAAUUCGAUAUAUAAAAUAUUAGAUCUAAAGAAAAAAAUAUCAUUUUGCGAUCACCGACCUCUCCUCGAACAACGCGCGAUUUUCGCAGAUCCGUCCGUCAGAUUUGCGAACGGAUUGCACCAGUGCGAUCAGCACGACGGAGACAACAAAUCUACGAUUUUGGUUCACCUCGAUCGACCACAGAUUCGUGACGAAAUCCAACCUUUCAUUCCAACCGAAUGAAUAACACAUAAAUACAUAUAAAACAUGUAUUUUUGGAUUUUCUCGAAAUCCGUGCAUCAAACUCAAAAUCCUUCAACGCCAGUAGUUCCAGAACAACUGAACCGGUCGAAACGAGCUAUUGGACUGAUAUGAACGGAGUCCGAUACACGUAGAAAGCCAACUCUACACCGUGGCUUCACCGAAAAACCGGAGUUACUAUUCACUUAAGUGAAAACUAAUAAUCGUGUAACUUCUCCGUUUUAGCUCAUUUUCUCCUGAAACUUGACGAGUGCUUAUGUAAUUAAAUUACACACAUAAACAUCGUCAACAGAGAGUUUAGUUGCACUGUAAAAAUCUCAGUCCUUACAAUAGUAUUUAUUCAAAAGCUUUUUACAAAUGUGGAAUGAAUUU